GAUCCUGGCUCAGGAUGAACGCUAGCUACAGGCUUAACACAUGCAAGUCGAGGGGCAGCAUGGUCUUAGCUUGCUAAGGCCGAUGGCGACCGGCGCACGGGUGAGUAACGCGUGGAUAACCUGCCUCACACAGGGGGAUAACAGUUGGAAACGACUGCUAAUACCGCAUAAGCGCACAGCACCGCAUGGUGCAGUGUGAAAAACUCCGGUGGUGUGAGAUGG
rnacentral:rRNA from 1 species